ensembl:lncRNA
UGCUGCUCACUGAAGUCACAGCAUAGGCAUGGAUGGCUCAGAUGAAACCUCCACUAACGACAGUGCUCUAUGCCAGUUUGGAUUGCGUGUGGCCACCGGCAGAAGUGUCUUGUAAUUUGGUCUCUAUGGUGGAGUGGUUCUUAACAGUUCUUCCAAAAUUGUGAAAUGUUUAGGACCACUUGAUCAGGUGGACAAAUUCUUCCAAGGCAAUAGAUGGAGUAGCCUACACUGAGAACCAUGAAUCCUUACGUGUUUUAUUUUACCCUUAUUUUACCAGGUAAAUUGACUGAGAACACAUUCUCAUUCACAGCAACGACCUGAGGAAUAGUAUAUAGCCUAGACUGAUUAGAUUAUUCAUUAAGAAGAGUGGAUUAGACUGAUUUCACACCAUGGCUUUAGUAUAGCUUAAUAAAAU